GAUGAACGCUGGCGGCGUGCCUAAUACAUGCAAGUCGAGCGAAUGGAUUAAGAGCUUGCUCUUAUGAAGUUAGCGGCGGACGGGUGAGUAACACGUGGGUAACCUGCCCAUAAGACUGGGAUAACUCCGGGAAACCGGGGCUAAUACCGGAUAACAUUUUGAACCGCAUGGUUCGAAAUUGAAAGGCGGCUUCGGCUGUCACCUAUGGAUGGACUCGCGGCCUAUCAGCUAGUUGGUGAGGUAACGGCUCACCAAGGCGACGAUGCGUAGCCGACCUGAGAGGGUGAUCGGCCACACUGGGACUGAGACACGGCCCAGACUCCUACGGGAGGCAGCAGUAGGGAAUCUUCCGCAAUGGACGAAAGUCUGACGGAGCAACGCCGCGUGAGUGAUGAAGGCUUUCGGGUCGUAAAACUCUGUUGUUAGGGAAGAACAAGUGCUAGUUGAAUAAGCUGGCACCUUGACGGUACCUAACCAGAAAGCCACGGCUAACUACGUGCCAGCCGCCGCAGUAA
rnacentral:rRNA from 1 species